rnacentral:tRNA from 1 species
CCCUGGGUGGCAUAGUGGUUUGAGCAUUGGACUAUGACUCUGGAGACCAGGGUUCGAAUCCUUGCUCUGCCA